GAUUAACGCUGGCGGCAUGCCUAAUACAUGCAAGUCGAUCGGAUGUAGCAAUACAUUAGAGGCGAACGGGUGAGUAACACGUAUCCAAUCUGCCUUAUAGUGGGGGAUAACUAGUCGAUGAUUAGCUAAUACCGCAUAACAAGUUAACUAUCGCAUGAGAAUAACUUUAAAGAAGCAACUGCUUCGCUAUAAGAUGAGGGUGCGGCAUAUCAGCUAGUUGGUGAGGGUAAUGGCCCACCAAGGCGAUGACGUGUAGUUAUGCUGAGAGGUAGAAUAACCACAAUGGGACUGAGACACGGCCCAUACUCCUACGGGAGGCAGCAGUAGGGAAUUUUUCACAAUGGACGAAAGUCUGAUGGAGCAAUGCCGCGUGAACGAUGAAGGUCUUUUUAGAUUGUAAAGUUCUUUUAUUUGAAGAACAGUUAGUAGAGUGGAAAGCUAUUAAUUUGACUGUACCAUUUGAAUAAGUAACGACUAACUAUGUGCCAGCAGUCGCGGUAAUACAUAGGUUGCAAGCGUUAUCCGGAUUUAUUGGGCGUAAAACAAGCGCAGGCGGAUUAGAAAGUCUGGUGUUAAAAGCAAUUGCUUAACGAUUGUAUGCAUUGGAAACUUCUAGUCUAGAGUUUGGUAGAGAGUCCUGGAACUCCAUGUGGAGCGGUGAAAUGCGUAGAUAUAUGGAAGAACACCAGAGGCGAAGGCGAGGACUUGGGCCAAUACUGACGCUUAGGCUUGAAUGUGUGGGGAGCAAAUAGGAUUAGAUACCCUAGUAGUCCACACUGUAAACGAUGGAUGUUAAGUGUCGGAGCGAAUACUUCGGUGCUGCAGUUAACACAUUAAACAUCCUGCCUGAGUAGUACAUUCGCAAGAAUGAAACUCAAACGGAAUUGACGGGGACCCGCACAAGUGGUGGAGCAUGUUGCUUAAUUCGACGGUACACGAAAAACCUUACCUAGACUUGACAUCUUGGGCGAAGCUAUAGAAAUAUAGUGGAGGUCAACCCAAUGACAGGUGGUGCAUGGUUGUCGUCAGCUCGUGUCGUGAGAUGUUGGGUUAAGUCCCGCAACGAGCGC
rnacentral:rRNA from 1 species